rnacentral:lncRNA from 1 species
UAAUUGUCAUGGGCUCAAUAUGAAAGAUACAGCAUCUAUUGUUUCAUUUUUCUUUGAAAAAUAACAUUGAAGUUUUGUUCCCACCGCCUUGUCAAACGAUAUUCAGUUUAAAAAAUUUAACUGCAAACUUGUGAAGUUUAGAUAUGCAUGCUUGUUUUUGCAUUCAUUCAUACUCAAACUACUCCAUUGAGCAUUUUCUAUAAGAUUUGAGGUUUCGAUGUACAUGCAUGCCACAUAGGGCAGUUAUGAUGUAAAAUAAUCAAGCAUUCAAAGGACACUGAAACUCCCCCC